GGCUCAGGACGAACGCUGGCGGCGUGCCUAAUACAUGCAAGUCGAACGGCUUUUCUAUGGAAGCUUGCUUCCACUGAGAAGAUAGUGGCGAACGGGUGAGUAACACGUGGGUAACCUGCCCAUAAGAGGGGGAUAACAUCCGGAAACGGGUGCUAAUACCGCAUAGUUUUCUUGAUCGCAUGAUCGGGAAAGGAAAGACGGCCUUUGUGCUGUCGCUUAUGGAUGGACCCGCGGCGUAUUAGUUAGUUGGUGAGGUAACGGCUCACCAAGACGAUGAUACGUAGCCGACCUGAGAGGGUGAUCGGCCACAUUGGGACUGAGACACGGCCCAAACUCCUACGGGAGGCAGCAGUAGGGAAUCUUCCGCAAUGGACGAAAGUCUGACGGAGCAACGCCGCGUGAGUGAAAGAAGGUUUUCGGAUCGUAAAACUCUGUUGUCAGAGAAGAACAAGUUGGAGAGUAACUGCUCCAGCCUUGACGGUAUCUGACCAGAAAGCCACGGCUAACUACGUGCCAGCCGCCGC
rnacentral:rRNA from 1 species